CCUACGGGAGGCAGCAGUGAGGAAUAUUGGUCAAUGGACGCAAGUCUGAACCAGCCAUGCCGCGUGCAGGAAGACGGCUCUAUGAGUUGUAAACUGCUUUUGUACGAGGGUAAACGCAGAUACGCGUAUCUGUCUGAAAGUAUCGUACGAAUAAGGAUCGGCUAACUCCGUGCCAGCAGCCGCGGUAAUACGGAGGAUUCAAGCGUUAUCCGUAUUUAUUGGGUUUAAAGGGUGCGUAGGCGGUCGGAUAAGUUAGAGGUGAAAUCCCGAGGCUCAACUUCGGAAUUGCCUCUGAUACUGUUCGGCGAGAGAGUAGUUGCGGUAGGCGGAAUGUAUGGUGUAGCGGUGAAAUGCUUAGAGAUCAUACAGAACACCGAUUGCGAAGGCAGCUUACCAAGCUACUUCUGACGUUGAGGCACGAAAGCGUGGGGAGCAAACAGGAUUAGAUACCCCAGUAGUC
rnacentral:rRNA from 1 species